rnacentral:rRNA from 1 species
GUCCACGCCGUAACGAUGAUAACUAGCUGUCCGGGACUUGGUCUUUGGGUGGCGCAGCUAACGCAUUAAGUUAUCCGCCUGGGAGUACGGCCGCAAGGUUAAACUCAAGGAAUAGACGGGACCCGCACAAGCGGUGGAGCAUGUGGUUUAAUUCGACGAUACACGAAGAACCUUACCUGGACUUGACAUAGUAAGAACUUUCUAGAGAUAGAUUGGUGUCUGCUUGCAGAAACUUAUAUACAGGUGCUGCACGGCUGUCGU